rnacentral:siRNA from 1 species
UCGAAAACAUGGUGUCCAUGU